rfam:Canis lupus familiaris chromosome 25, whole genome shotgun sequence.
GCCUGGGUGGCUCAGUGGUUGAGCGCCUGCCUUUGGCUCAGGGAGUGAUCCUGGGGUCUUGGGAUUGAGUCCCGCAUCAGGCU